GGGUUGUGAGGUUAAGCGACUAAGCGUACACGGUGGAUGCCCUGGCAGUCAGAGGCGAUGAAGGACGUGCUAAUCUGCGAUAAGCGUCGGUAAGGUGAUAUGAACCGUUAUAACCGGCGAUUUCCGAAUGGGGAAACCCAGUGUGAUUCGUCACACUAUCAUUAACUGAAUCCAUAGGUUAAUGAGGCGAACCGGGGGAACUGAAACAUCUAAGUACCCCGAGGAAAAGAAAUCAACCGAGAUUCCCCCAGUAGCGGCGAGCGAACGGGGAGCAGCCCAGAGCCUGAAUCAGUGUGUGUGUUAGUGGAAGCGUCUGGAAAGGCGCGCGAUACAGGGUGACAGCCCCGUACACAAAAAUGCACAUACUGUGAGCUCGAUGAGUAGGGCGGGACACGUGGUAUCCUGUCUGAAUAUGGGGGGACCAUCCUCCAAGGCUAAAUACUCCUGACUGACCGAUAGUGAACCAGUACCGUGAGGGAAAGGCGAAAAGAACCCCGGCGAGGGGAGUGAAAAAGAACCUGAAACCGUGUACGUACAAGCAGUGGGAGCCUCUUUAUGGGGUGACUGCGUACCUUUUGUAUAAUGGGUCAGCGACUUAUAUUCUGUAGCAAGGUUAACCGAAUAGGGGAGCCGAAGGGAAACCGAGUCUUAACUGGGCGUUAAGUUGCAGGGUAUAGACCCGAAACCCGGUGAUCUAGCCAUGGGCAGGUUGAAGGUUGGGUAACACUAACUGGAGGACCGAACCGACUAAUGUUGAAAAAUUAGCGGAUGACUUGUGGCUGGGGGUGAAAGGCCAAUCAAACCGGGAGAUAGCUGGUUCUCCCCGAAAGCUAUUUAGGUAGCGCCUCGUGAAUUCAUCUCCGGGGGUAGAGCACUGUUUCGGCAAGGGGGUCAUCCCGACUUACCAACCCGAUGCAAACUGCGAAUACCGGAGAAUGUUAUCACGGGAGACACACGGCGGGUGCUAACGUCCGUCGUGAAGAGGGAAACAACCCAGACCGCCAGCUAAGGUCCCAAAGUCAUGGUUAAGUGGGAAACGAUGUGGGAAGGCCCAGACAGCCAGGAUGUUGGCUUAGAAGCAGCCAUCAUUUAAAGAAAGCGUAAUAGCUCACUGGUCGAGUCGGCCUGCGCGGAAGAUGUAACGGGGCUAAACCAUGCACCGAAGCUGCGGCAGCGACACUAUGUGUUGUUGGGUAGGGGAGCGUUCUGUAAGCCUGUGAAGGUGUACUGUGAGGUAUGCUGGAGGUAUCAGAAGUGCGAAUGCUGACAUAAGUAACGAUAAAGCGGGUGAAAAGCCCGCUCGCCGGAAGACCAAGGGUUCCUGUCCAACGUUAAUCGGGGCAGGGUGAGUCGACCCCUAAGGCGAGGCCGAAAGGCGUAGUCGAUGGGAAACAGGUUAAUAUUCCUGUACUUGGUGUUACUGCGAAGGGGGGACGGAGAAGGCUAUGUUGGCCGGGCGACGGUUGUCCCGGUUUAAGCGUGUAGGCUGGUUUUCCAGGCAAAUCCGGAAAAUCAAGGCUGAGGCGUGAUGACGAGGCACUACGGUGCUGAAGCAACAAAUGCCCUGCUUCCAGGAAAAGCCUCUAAGCAUCAGGUAACAUCAAAUCGUACCCCAAACCGACACAGGUGGUCAGGUAGAGAAUACCAAGGCGCUUGAGAGAACUCGGGUGAAGGAACUAGGCAAAAUGGUGCCGUAACUUCGGGAGAAGGCACGCUGAUAUGUAGGUGAAGUCCCUCGCGGAUGGAGCUGAAAUCAGUCGAAGAUACCAGCUGGCUGCAACUGUUUAUUAAAAACACAGCACUGUGCAAACACGAAAGUGGACGUAUACGGUGUGACGCCUGCCCGGUGCCGGAAGGUUAAUUGAUGGGGUUAGCGGUAACGCGAAGCUCUUGAUCGAAGCCCCGGUAAACGGCGGCCGUAACUAUAACGGUCCUAAGGUAGCGAAAUUCCUUGUCGGGUAAGUUCCGACCUGCACGAAUGGCGUAAUGAUGGCCAGGCUGUCUCCACCCGAGACUCAGUGAAAUUGAACUCGCUGUGAAGAUGCAGUGUACCCGCGGCAAGACGGAAAGACCCCGUGAACCUUUACUAUAGCUUGACACUGAACAUUGAGCCUUGAUGUGUAGGAUAGGUGGGAGGCUUUGAAGUGUGGACGCCAGUCUGCAUGGAGCCGACCUUGAAAUACCACCCUUUAAUGUUUGAUGUUCUAACGUUGGCCCCUGAUCGGGGUUGCGGACAGUGUCUGGUGGGUAGUUUGACUGGGGCGGUCUCCUCCUAAAGAGUAACGGAGGAGCACGAAGGUUGGCUAAUCCUGGUCGGACAUCAGGAGGUUAGUGCAAUGGCAUAAGCCAGCUUGACUGCGAGCGUGACGGCGCGAGCAGGUGCGAAAGCAGGUCAUAGUGAUCCGGUGGUUCUGAAUGGAAGGGCCAUCGCUCAACGGAUAAAAGGUACUCCGGGGAUAACAGGCUGAUACCGCCCAAGAGUUCAUAUCGACGGCGGUGUUUGGCACCUCGAUGUCGGCUCAUCACAUCCUGGGGCUGAAGUAGGUCCCAAGGGUAUGGCUGUUCGCCAUUUAAAGUGGUACGCGAGCUGGGUUUAGAACGUCGUGAGACAGUUCGGUCCCUAUCUGCCGUGGGCGCUGGAGAACUGAGGGGGGCUGCUCCUAGUACGAGAGGACCGGAGUGGACGCAUCACUGGUGUUCGGGUUGUCAUGCCAAUGGCACUGCCCGGUAGCUAAAUGCGGAAGAGAUAAGUGCUGAAAGCAUCUAAGCACGAAACUUGCCCCGAGAUGAGUUCUCCCUGACUCCCUGAGAGUCCUGAAGGAACGUUGAAGACGACGACGUUGAUAGGCCGGGUGUGUAAGCGCAGCGAUGCGUUGAGCUAACCGGUACUAAUGAACCGUGAGGCUUAACCUUACAACGCCGAAG
rnacentral:rRNA from 1 species